rnacentral:rRNA from 1 species
UACGGGGGGGGCAAGCGUUGUUCGGAAUUACUGGGCGUAAAGGGCGCGUAGGCGGCCUGUUAAGUCACACGUGAAAUCCCUCGGCUCAACCGGGGAACUGCGUGUGAUACUGGCGGGCUUGAAUCCGGGAGAGGGAUGCGGAAUUCCAGGUGUAGCGGUGAAAUGCGUAGAUAUCUGGAGGAACACCGGUGGCGAAGGCAGCAUCCUGGACCGGCAUUGACGCUGAUGAGCGAAAGCCAGGGGAGCAAACGGG